rnacentral:rRNA from 1 species
UACAGAGGGGCAAGCGUUAUUCGGAAUUAUUGGGCGUAAAGGGCGCGUAGGCGGCUUUUCAAGUGACGGGUGAAAUCCCUCGGACUUAACCGAGGAACUGCCUGUCAGACUGGAAGGCUUGGAGACCGGGAGAGGUGGAGUGGAAUUCCCAGUGUAGCGGUGAAAUGCGUAGAUAUUGGGAGGAACACCAGUGGCGAAGGCGGCUCGACUGGACCGGAACGUGACGCUGAGGCGCGAAAGCGAUGGGGAGCAAACAGGG